rnacentral:rRNA from 1 species
UCGGAAUUACUGGGCGUAAAGCGUGCGCAGGCGGUGAUGUAAGACAGAUGUGAAAUCCCCGGGCUCAACCUGGGAACUGCAUUUGUGACUGCAUCGCUGGAGUGCGGCAGAGGGGGAUGGAAUUCCGCGUGUAGCAGUGAAAUGCGUAGAUAUGCGGAGGAACACCGAUGGCGAAGGCAAUCCCCUGGGCCUGCACUGACGCUCAUGCCCGAAAGCGUGGGGAGCAAACAGG